CUUAUCCCAAAGUCUUAGCUAGGGUUUGCCUACUGAGGCUGAUUGUAGCGCCGCUCUGUGCCUCUGCCCAAAAAUUCCUAGUGCUCCGAUUAUGAAUGAUUGGUAUAUUAUUCACCCUCCUUGUACAUACCAAGGUUGUCGACAGUGGAAAGGAGGAGGGGGUUUUGAAAACGAAGUACCAAUGAGAAUAAUGAAGAAAAUGCUCCAGAAAGGAUUGACAUUAAUGUUCAUGGCAUAUAUGUGAAGUCAGUCAGUAGCUACUACAUAUUUGCUGUGACACUUCUCAUGAUGGGCCUUACCAUUAGCUGGAAUGCUACUGCAGCCAAUGGCCCUAUGUUUGCUAAGGUGGUCCCUGCCAAGCAUAGGACUAUGAUCUAUGCAUUUGAUCGAGGUCUUAAGGGAUGUUCCUCUUCAUUUGCUGCUCCUAUUGUUGGAAUUCUUGCAGAACAGUUAUAAUCCUAAUUAAGUCUGUUAACCCCAAAACAGAAUCCAUACCAGAGGCCAUUGCAUUGUUGAAAGGCCGUUUUUCAAUGAUGGCAGUUCCCUUGGGCUUACGUUACAUGUUCCACAAGCCCUUGUAUUGGCUCGUUAAGGGAGAACAAGAGACUGUAGGCUAGCCACUUCAGAAGAGGCAGAGAUGAUCCAACCGCACGGCAGGGACAGAGAUAAUACUUAUUUCACGAGCACUACAUUUCACGAGCAUAAUACUUAUUUUAAUAAUUUGUGUGAUCGAUUGAAAUGGGAAACGAGGAUCUGAAAAUUUUUGGUAUAUCUAUUGUAUAUAUACUUAUCCACUGAAAGAGUAAUUUAUAUUUUGAUUAGAUUUUUUUA